UGGGUAGGGGAGCGUUCUGUAAGCCUGUGAAGGUGGCCUGUGAGGGUUGCUGGAGGUAUCAGAAGUGCGAAUGCUGACAUAAGUAACGAUAAAGCGGGUGAAAAGCCCGCUCGCCGGAAGACCAAGGGUUCCUGUCCAACGUUAAUCGGGGCAGGGUGAGUCGACCCCUAAGGCGAGGCCGAAAGGCGUAGUCGAUGGGAAACGGGUUAAUAUUCCCGUACUUGGUGUUACUGCGAAGGGGGGACGGAGAAGGCUAUGUUGGCCGGGCGACGGUUGUCCCGGUUUAAGCGUGUAGGUGUGUGUUCCAGGUAAAUCCGGUUCACUUUAACACUGAGGCGUGAUGACGAGGCACUACGGUGCUGAAGCAACAAAUGCCCUGCUUCCAGGAAAAGCCUCUAAGCAUCAGGUAACAUCAAAUCGUACCCCAAACCGACACAGGUGGUCAGGUAGAGAAUACCAAGGCGCUUGAGAGAACUCGGGUGAAGGAACUAGGCAAAAUGGUGCCGUAACUUCGGGAGAAGGCACGCUGACACGUAGGUGAAGUGAUUUACUCACGGAGCUGAAGUCAGUCGAAGAUACCAGCUGGCUGCAACUGUUUAUUAAAAACACAGCACUGUGCAAACACGAAAGUGGACGUAUACGGUGUGACGCCUGCCCGGUGCCGGAAGGUUAAUUGAUGGGGUCAGCGCAAGCGAAGCUCCUGAUCGAAGCCCCGGUAAACGGCGGCCGUAACUAUAACGGUCCUAAGGUAGCGAAAUUCCUUGUCGGGUAAGUUCCGACCUGCACGAAUGGCGUAAUGAUGGCCAGGCUGUCUCCACCCGAGACUCAGUGAAAUUGAACUCGCUGUGAAGAUGCAGUGUACCCGCGGCAAGACGGAAAGACCCCGUGAACCUUUACUAUAGCUUGACACUGAACAUUGAGCCUUGAUGUGUAGGAUAGGUGGGAGGCUUUGAAGUGUGGACGCCAGUCUGCAUGGAGCCGACCUUGAAAUACCACCCUUUAAUGUUUGAUGUUCUAACGUGGACCCGUUACCCGGGUUGCGGACAGUGUCUGGUGGGUAGUUUGACUGGGGCGGUCUCCUCCUAAAGAGUAACGGAGGAGCACGAAGGUUGGCUAAUCCUGGUCGGACAUCAGGAGGUUAGUGCAAUGGCAUAAGCCAGCUUGACUGCGAGCGUGACGGCGCGAGCAGGUGCGAAAGCAGGUCAUAGUGAUCCGGUGGUUCUGAAUGGAAGGGCCAUCGCUCAACGGAUAAAAGGUACUCCGGGGAUAACAGGCUGAUACCGCCCAAGAGUUCAUAUCGACGGCGGUGUUUGGCACCUCGAUGUCGGCUCAUCACAUCCUGGGGCUGAAGUAGGUCCCAAGGGUAUGGCUGUUCGCCAUUUAAAGUGGUACGCGAGCUGGGUUUAGAACGUCGUGAGACAGUUCGGUCCCUAUCUGCCGUGGGCGCUGGAGAACUGAGGGGGGCUGCUCCUAGUACGAGAGGACCGGAGUGGACGCAUCACUGGUGUUCGGGUUGUCAUGCCAAUGGCACUGCCCGGUAGCUAAAUGCGGAAGAGAUAAGUGCUGAAAGCAUCUAAGCACGAAACUUGCCCCGAGAUGAGUUCU
rnacentral:rRNA from 1 species